AAGGUUGACCUCGGAUCAGGUAGGAUUACCCGC
rnacentral:rRNA from 1 species